UCCUGGGUGAGUAAAUGGUUAACAUGCUCAGCUGCUAACUGAAAGGUUGGAGGUUCGAGUCCCCUCUUAGGUG
rnacentral:tRNA from 1 species